GAUGAACGCUGGCGGCGUGCCUAAUACAUGCAAGUCGAGCGAACAGACGAGGAGCUUGCUCCUCUGACGUUAGCGGGGGACGUGUGAGUAACACGUGGAUAACCUACCUAUAAGACUGGGAUACCUUCGGGAAACCGAUACUAAAUCCGGAAAAUAUCUUGAACGGCUAGUUUUAAUAGUUAAGGCGGAUUGUGCUGUGACUGAGCGAGGUUUCCGCGCCGCUUUAGCUAGUUGGUAAGGUGACGGCUAACCAAGGCAACGAUGGGUAGCUGACCUGGGAGGGUGAUAGGCCCCACUGGACCUGUGCCGCGGUCCAGACUCCUACGGGAGGCAGCAGUAGGGAAUCUUCCGCAAUGGGCGAAAGCCUGACGGAGCACAGCCGCGUGACGGAUGAGGGUCUUCGGAUCGUAAAUCUCUGUUAUUAGGGAAGAACAAAUGUGUAAGUAACUAUGCACGUCUUGACGGUACCUAAUCAGAAAGCCCCGGCUAACUACGUG
rnacentral:rRNA from 1 species